GUACGAUGAUCUUGGGGUUUCGGCUCUGGGGGAUUAGUGGCGAACGGGUGAGUAACACGUGAGUAACCUGCCUCACGCUUUGGGAUAACUGCUUGAAAGGGCAGCUAAUACCGGGUAUGACCUUCUGGCGCAUGCUGGAGGGUGGAAAGCCUUCGGGUGGCGUGGGAUGGGCUCGCGGCCUAUCAGCUUGUUGGUGGGGUGAUGGCCUACCAAGGCGGAGACGGGUAGCCGGCCUGAGAGGGCGACCGGCCACACUGGGACUGAGAUACGGCCCAGACUCCUACGGGAGGCAGCAGUGGGGAAUAUUGCGCAAUGGGCGAAAGCCUGACGCAGCGACGCCGCGUGGGGGAUGGAGGCCUUCGGGUUGUGAACCCCUUUCGCUGGGGGAGAAGCUCAUGCUUUUUGGUGUGGGUGACGGUACCUGGUAAAGAAGCGCCGGCUAACUACGUGCCAGCAGCCGCGGUAAUACGUAGGGCGCGAGCGUUGUCCGGAAUUAUUGGGCGUAAAGGGCUCGUAGGCGGCUGGUCGCGUCUGUCGUGAAAUCCUCUGGCUCAACUGGGGGCUUGCGGUGGGUACGGGCUGGCUUGAGUGCGGUAGGGGAGAUUGGAACUCCUGGUGUAGCGGUGGAAUGCGCAGAUAUCAGGAAGAACACCGAUGGCGAAGGCAGGUCUCUGGGCCGUCACUGACGCUGAUGAGCGAGGGCGUGGGGAGCGAACAGGAUUAGAUACCCUGGUAGUCCACGCCGUAAACGUUGGGCACUAGGUGUGGGGUUUGUCUUUAUGGCUGGUUCCGCGCCGUAGCUAACGCAUUAAGUGCCCCGCCUGGGGAGUACGGCCGCAAGGCUAAAACUCAAAGGAAUUGACGGGGCCCCGCACAAGCGGCGGAGCAUGCGGAUUAAUUCGAUGCAACGCGAAGAACCUUACCAAGGCUUGAAAUGCGAGGAAAUCCGUGGAGACAUCGG
rnacentral:rRNA from 1 species